rnacentral:lncRNA from 1 species
GUAAGAAACGACAAAAGACAACCCAGCAGAUUUUUUUGGGGGGGGAAAAAAAAGCUUUUUUGCAUGAGAAGUGACAAACACAAAUUUGAAAUAAAAAUGAAGAUUAAGUUGAUUGGAGCAAUUGAGGGGGUUCUACUGAAUUGGAAAAUCUCAAGAAACUGUACAGAAUGCUGUCCAAAGAGCCGGAAAGGAAGCACAGAAAACGGCAACAAAGCUGAGAAGCAGACAUGAAUAAGAUCUAGUGCGGGACCUGGAGCCCAGGAGGAGACGCGGCGACACCCGAGGAGGCGACCGAUGGUACAUUCCCACUGAACGAAUCCCAGCGGAUUCCAAGCAAGCUAUAAAACAACUCAUAUCUAGAGACUGAGGUGAAGUUCUUGCUUGAGCAGCUAAAUGUAAAAUGCAGAUAGACAUUAGAAACCAGCCCCGCUGGGUGACUUGUUACCAAGCCAGAAAACACUGGAGUUCUUACGCUGCAUCCUAUUAACAAAAGAAUGGUUAUCAUGGAAGCUGACACUUAUUAAAACUUUUUUUUUAAGAGGGCUAAUUAGAAAGGUUUUCAGACAAAAGCAGAGUUUGCACAGGUGGUAAUAAUACAGGGUUCAGGAGGCAGAAGGAAAACGAUCUUAUACGGAAAAUCAGAGGCAAGAAGGAACGUGGAACAACGUGGUGAAUAACGUUGGUAAGUUACCAUUAACUGUAAAAAAAAUAUAUAGUUUGUGGAAAGGAAAUAUGGACCACAAUUAAGGUGCUGGACAAUAGCACAUAACCUGGGGUGACCAGAACACUAAUGUCCAUGUUUUCAUAUUCAGGAGGAAAAUGAGCGUAUUGAGUAACUAUGACUUUUGUGAAACAUGUAUUAGCUAGAAUAACCACUAAAAAAAUAGAGCUUAUCACCUUGAAACAAAUAGAGAAGGAAGAAGGCAAGAAGCCGAUGGGGUCUCAGAUCCGGCCCUUCCUCUGAUGGGACAAUCUCAGCUUCCAGGGAAGGGGUUACAGGGAGGGGCGAAGAGCCUUCCUUUACAGGACAGUUCAGGGGCGCUGAGGGGCCUUCCUCUAGGACAGUUCAGGGGCGCUGAGGGGCCUUCCACUGGGACAGUUCAGGGACAGAGUGUGUUCAGAACAAGAACAGCCAGUGAAGUGUCAGAAGUGGCAGAGAGCAGGUCCAAGAUAAUCUCCAUCAAAGCAACGUUAAUAUUUAAAUAAAAAUUAUUUGCUGGCUUGUGUGUGGACGGGUCAACCUGAUAGAAAGACAAGAAGUUCAGGACAGAAUAUUUUUAUACCUUGCUGACGGAACUGCUGACUCCUGGAGUCCUUCAGGAUUUGGAACCUUAGUUUUACAUCAGAGGAAGAACAGUUAAAAUGAAAUGGAAUAAAAAAAUAACGAGUAUUGUGUCUAUACCCUCCAUGUUUCCAAACCCCAGAGCAAGACCGAAAUAAAUAGCAUAGAAGAUCAGAAGGAAAAAAUAAAUCCAAAAAUGAAACAUCAAGGCAAAUCCUACUCUCUGAGGCUCGUUAUUUCUCUUUGCCUUAGGAAACCAUGCAGCUUCUUUUUAAAGGAAAAAAAAAAAUUGCUCCCCAGCCAGAGAGUUCUCUAGUUUCAUCACCGGCAUUCUAGGAAAUGAACUCUCUAGUUCUUCUCGUCCUCUUUCAGGACCUACUUUCCCUUUUUAAAUACUGAUGUACCACCAGGGUUCAGAUUUAGCUUGCUUCUGACUUGUUGCUGAUGGAAUUCCCAGUUAGAAACCUGGUUCAACCUGAUUCUCGCCUUAUCUUCUUUGUAUUUUUCAAAAGGUAGCCCCCAGGGUCUCCCCGCGGUCGGGUUAAAGUUUGAUGGUGGACACUUGGUGACUCAGCUCUACUCCACCUUUUCUUGUAAAGUGUCUUGAAUUCUGCUCUUAUUCUAGUGAUGGGUAUCUCAUUGCGUGUUGCUUUGUAACUUGUUUACAAUGUCACCUAUAUAAUGACUUUUCAUAUAUGGAUGUGAGAGUUGGACUGUGAAGAAAGCUGAGCGCCAAAGA